rnacentral:rRNA from 1 species
AAGAACCUUACCUGGUCUUGACAUCCUGCGAACUUUCUAGUUAUAGAUUGGUGCCUUAGGGAACGCAGUGACAGGUGCUGCACGGCUGUCGUCAGCUCGUGUUGAGAAAUGUUGGGUUAAGUCCCGCAACGAGCGCAACCCCUAUUGAUAGUUACCAUCAUUAAGUUGGGUAAUCUAUUAAGACUGCCGCUGACAAGGCGGAGGAAGGUGGGGACGACGUCAAGUCAUCAUGGCCCUUACGACCAGG